UACAGAGGUCUCAAGCGUUGUUCGGAUUCAUUGGGCGUAAAGGGUGUGUAGGUGGCGCCGUAAGUCGGGUGUGAAAUUUCGGAGCUUAACUCCGAAACUGCAUUCGAUACUGGCGUGCUUGAGGACUGGAGAGGAGACUGGAAUUCAUGGUGUAGCAGUGAAAUGCGUAGAGAUCAUGAGGAAGACCAGUGGCGAAGGCGGGUCUCUGGACAGUUCCUGACACUGAGGCACGAAGGCCAGGGGAGCAAACGGG
rnacentral:rRNA from 1 species